AUUAUUGCUCGUUUUUAUUGCAACUUUAUCUUUCAAAAUUGUAAAAAUUAUUUUGGAUUUUUGUCUGUUGGUCUAGAUUUUUUUUUGUUUAGUUUCAAACAAUAUUUUCUGUGGUUCACAGCAAAUUUGUGUGUAUAGAAUUGGAAAUUCAAUUUAGAAAAUCAUCAUCAUAAUUAUCGAUGUUUUUGCCAUUCAUCCACACAUAUACCGCAUACCCACACACACACACAUACAAUGCAUAUUGAAUAAUGUCAAACAACUCUCUUUUCUCUCAAUUUCUAUUUCCAUCAACAACAACCAAAAAAAC